AUACGGCCAUAUCUCGUUGAAACACUAGUUCUCUUACGAUCGCCGAAGUUAAGCAAUGUCGAAACUGGUCAGUACCUAGAUGGGUGACGGUAUGCAAAUUCUGUCUGCUGUAA